UACGGAGGGUGCGAGCGUUGUCCGGAAUCACUGGGCGUAAAGGGCGCGUAGGUGGCGUCGCAAGUCAACGGUGAAAGCUCGACGCUCAACGUCGAGUCGGCCGUCGGGACUGCGAGGCUUGAGCACUGUAGAGGCAGAUGGAAUUCCGGGUGUAGCGGUGGAAUGCGUAGAGAUCCGGAAGAACACCGGUGGCGAAGGCGGUCUGCUGGGCAGUUGCUGACACUGAGGCGCGACAGCGUGGGGAGCAAACAGGG
rnacentral:rRNA from 1 species